rnacentral:tRNA from 3 species
GCAUUGAACUUAAGAUUCAAAUAUAAAGUAUUUUUAAACUUUUAUUAAAA